rnacentral:misc_RNA from 1 species
ACACUUUGGAAUUCCACAAGUUUUACAAGAAUCUUUCAACCUGCCUAGAUAAUGUUGUAUGGAAAACUGAACAAGACAUGGAAGAAAAAAAAUGAAGAGCAAUUUCUUAUUGUUUUAUUUUUUUUUUCAAAAUUUUGGGACCAUAUUUUUAAGGUUUUACCAAUUGUUUUAUUAGGGGUAGGUGUUUUAUUAGACAAAAAUAGUAGAAUUUG